CCCUUAGAUGUCCUGGGCUGCACGCGCGCUACACUGAUGUGUCCAGUAAGCACCUAACCUCUUCCGAAAGGAACGGGUAACCUUUGCAAAGCACAUCGUGAUGGGGAUAGAUUAUUGCAAGUAUUAGUCUUGAACGAGGAAUUCCUAGUAAGCACAAGUCAUCAGCUUGUGUUGAUUACGUCCCUGCCCUUUGUACACACCGCCCGUCGCUCCUACCGAUUGAAUGUUCCGGUGAGCUCUUCGGACUGCGCGGUCUGCAGUUUCUGCGUUCCGUGCGGAAAGUUGCGCAAACCUUAACAUUUAGAGGAAGGAGAAGUCGUAACA
rnacentral:rRNA from 1 species